GGUGUCGCAGGCGCUCGCCCACGCGGUGCGCACCGGGGCGCCAGGUACAGCGUGGAAAGCCGGGCGAGCGUCUCAGCCCUCGCUAGCUGGACCUGGACCCCAGACCAGUGGGCAACGCUGCCAAAACCCGCAAAGUCGAGCGAGGGACAACGGAACACCGGAUUCAAGCGCGGCUCUACCUAAAAGUCCUGGAAGCUGGAGAAGGGGCGGCGAGCGCGCGUCAGUGCAAGCCUGGCUCUGCUCCCGACCGUCACUGCGACCGCGGGCGCAGGAAGGAUGUGAGUGGAGGCCGGGGCGAAGCCCGGUUCCCAGGCCUUCUGUGGCCCUCACUCAGAGCCCACGAUUCAGAGGGAAGGGUAACUCUCUGCCUUGCCACCCGUCCUGCGUUCCCGCCUCCACGGCUCCCAAGCUCACAAAACCGAGGACAGCUGACAUCCUGGAGAUGAGCGUAAAAGACAUCUGCAGCGCCUACACGGCCCGGUGACAGCUGGGGUCACUGCGUGGAGGUGAGCUGUGUGCGGGACAGGGACAGAUUCCCGCGCUUGCAGCUCCCUAACCCUAAUCCUAACCCUGAGAGCUCAGCAAGAUGGCUUUGCCGAGCCUGAGACCCUGGGCAAGUUCUGGGCUCUUUCAGAAAGUGUCUCACCGAGACGAUCUGCUUCCUGGCAGGAUGUGAGGGGGUCGCCUGCCUGUCCCAGCUGGAACCAGGAGCCGGCCCGCCUCCCGCCUUCGUGGUGCAUUUGCAGAAGUUUGACUCCAGUACCUCCUCCCACUCGAGAACCGGGUCUCUGGGCCCGAGCUGAACCUGGAGGUUGUGGCCGCGGUGAAGUGUGGCUUGUCUUACGACUGCAGGCUUGCACCAGAGAAUGCGUAUUUACAGUCGCACGGCGCAUUUGUUUGGUUUUAAACCAUAUGGUUCAGUAGCACCGCUUCCUAGCUCUGGCAUCCCUGACCCAGAUCGUUUCCCAAGCCCUUCUUCUAGUCGGGGAUAUACGGAUGGGGAUGUGUCCCCUCACACUCCAGGGUUGGCUUUGCUUUGCUUAGUGUUGGAGUCUGCAACUACCCUGGGAUAUAAUAUGGACCCCAAUAGGGGGCAACCAAGAAGGUGACAGUCACCAAGCUGUCUCGGUGCAGUAAGGUGAUUGGGGAGAAGUAUGGGAAGGGGGGGGUUCCUGAUUUAAAAAAAUAACUGUGUGUGUGUGUGUGUGUGUGUGUGUGUGUGUGAUUGUGAUGUAUGCAUGUGCUACUAUGUAUCCAUGGGCAAACAGCAAGACUUCUGCCAGGAGUGGGGUGGGGUUGUAACCAUGGUGGGACGGGGUUGUGGUGGUGAGGGUGAUCCAUGCCUUUAAUCCCAGUGCUCUCAGGAGGGAGAGGCAGGCAAAUCUCUGAGUUUGGGGACAGCUUGGUCUACAGAUCAAGUUCCAGGACAACUAGCGCCACACAGGAAACCCUGUCUCAAAAACCAAACCAAAACAACCAAAGAAAUCUCUCAUUGAGCUGAAAGGUGAGCUCUCAGAAUUUGUCAAUGUCUGUCCCCUAUUCCUUGUGCUGGAGUUCCAGGCAGGACAGUCAUGUCUAGCUUUUUACAUGGGUUUAAACCCAGUCCUCCAUGCUUGUAGAACAAGUGCUCUUACCCCCUGAGCCAUCUCCUUAGCCCUGGUACUACUGGGCAUGGUGGCACAUGCCUGUAAUCUGUGCUUGGAAAGUAGAAGCAGGUGAAUCACUGUGAGUUUGAGGUCAGCCUAGUCUAUAUAGUGAGUUUCAGAUCAGUGAGUUCCAGGCCAGCCAGGGAUGCACAGAGAAACCCUGUCUUGAAAAACAAAACAAAACAAACAAACAAAAAACCCCAACAAUUCAAUCGGAGAAAGGCUUGGGAGUGCAAUGGGGCCCUGAACAUCCAGUGUAGCAACUGGCCAGCUAAUAAAGACUUUCUAGUGGC
rnacentral:lncRNA from 1 species